rnacentral:rRNA from 1 species
AACGAACGCUGGCGGCAGGCCUAACACAUGCAAGUCGAGCGCGCCCUUCGGGGUGAGCGGCGGACGGGUGAGUAACGCGUGGGAACGUGCCCUUCUCUGCGGAAUAGCCUCGGGAAACUGAGAGUAAUACCGCAAACGCCCUUUGGGGGAAAGAUUUAUCGGAGAAGGAUCGGCCCGCGUUGGAUUAGGUAGUUGGUGGGGUAAUGGCCCACCAAGCCGACGAUCCAUAGCUGGUUUGAGAGGAUGAUCAGCCACACUGGGACUGAGACACGGCCCAGCCUCCUACGGGAGGCAGCAGAGGGGAAUCUUAGACAAUGGGGGCAACCCUGAUCGAGCCAUGCCGCGUGAGUGAUGAAGGCCUUAGGGUUGUAAAGCUCUUUCAGCUGGGAAGAUAAUGACGGUACCAGCAGAAGAAGCCCCGGCUAACUCCGUG